AUUGAACGCUGGCGGCAGGCCUAACACAUGCAAGUCGAACGAGCGGCGGACGGGUGAGUAAUGUCUGGGAAUCUGCCUGAUAGAGGGGGAUAACUACUGGAAACGGUGGCUAAUACCGCAUACCAUCAGAUGUGCCCAAAUGGGAUUAGCUUGUAGGUGGGGUAAAGGCUCACCUAGGCGACGAUCCCUAGCUGGUCUGAGAGGAUGAUCAGCCACACUGGAACUGAGACACGGCCCAGACUCCUACGGGAGGCAGCAGUGGGGAAUAUUGCACAAUGGGAGCAAGCCUGAUGCAGCCAUGCCGCGUGUAUGAAGAAGGCCUUAGGGUUGUAAAGUACUUUCAGCGGGGAGGCGUUACCCGCAGAAGAAGCACCGGCUAACUCCGUGCCAGCAGCCGCGGUAAUAC
rnacentral:rRNA from 1 species